UCCGGUAUGGUGAGGCCAGUGUUGUAGCUUGAGGUCCAGGCUAAGCCACACUUAACUGUCGCCUCUUCCGCAG
rnacentral:miRNA from 1 species